ensembl:lncRNA
GCACUGUAUUGGGCCACUGGUCGGGCUGAAAGCAGGAGGGGAGGAGCGUUGUCCAGGUCCGGAUCUAUUUGAACAAAACUCGAUGCAGAUGGGUUAUCUCUCUCCCCACCCCUUUCCUUAUCUUGUCUUGCCUUACGUUCUCAUCUAUCUCUUCUCCUUCCAUAACACAUACCUCUUCCAAUCUCUCUCAUACGAUCAUUAAUUCACCUUGUUGCCAUUUUGGCCAUAAAACAUUAACAAAAUAUCAUAAUACUCCACAAGAAAUCUGAGAAUAAUUUAUUAAUUUCUUUGAACCAGUAAAGAGGGAAUUUAAGAGGAAUUGCUGAUACAAGAAAUAAUAAUCUUGGAGUGUGUUUACAAAUAUUUAGAGCAAAAAUAAAGGUGUUAAGGUGACGUCUAUCACUUGCAGAGGAAGUUACCGUGCCACGCCUUGUAGUCACGUGACCUCAAGUUGAAUAAUUGAUCUAAAUUAAAAACAAGAUUUAAAUGAACUAUCAAGGUUGUUCGUUCUAAGGACAUUUUUUAUGUUCUGAGUGAACAAGUUGGUGCAACAAACGGUUUUAUCUUUACCCCAAUAAAGAUGAGUUUAAUGAAUCAAGUAUCGUGUUUGCUCAUUGUCAUUUCAUAUUGCCUUUUGAUUUCUCUUCCAGGGGAACUUCGAAGGAUCCGUUCUGAAUUUGUGAAGGGAGUUUCAGAACCAGCUAUCAAAGGUCUCCUGGGAUGACCUUUAUCAUCAUGAAGUGUUCAGUACUGAGGAAAAGGACUCUGUGAUGGAGGGCCAGAAGAUCAGAGCGGACCGAGCACGUUGUCUGAUCGACAUGGUGAUCGGCAAAGGGGAGAAAGCAAGUCAGAUGAUGAUCGAUAGUAUGAAGAAGAGGGACAAACACUUAUGCUCCACCCUGGGUCUGAAGUCUUUUCCUGGUGUGGGAUACCUUUUAUGGUUUGGUAACCCUCACCUUAACCCCUCACACCGUUUUCUAAAGAGGUAAAACUAAAUCUAUAUUUUUGUUGAGUGGUACAUCGUCAGAAGGUGGAACUUUACCGGCCUGUGUGUGGAUUGUCUUUAUCUUUUUAUAAAACCCGCUCUGCAGGGCGGGAACUGUCUGAUGAUCGAGAGAAUAAAUAUUACACUGAUUGGCCCAAAGGUAGCGCUAUAGCAACAGUCCAAAAAUGCAAACUUUGAACAAACAUAUCAAAUAACCGCUUUGACUUAGAGUCAUGAUAGUUUGUAACACAUGCAUAUCCUCAUGGUGAACAAAUAUGCCUCAAGAACCCAUGACUAAAUUCCUUGAGGAUUCUAGGUUUUUUUACUUAGAAAAAAAUACUUUAGCACUAUGGAUCAAUGUCUUCAAUCUGACAUCACUAAACUAAACUAAAGCGCCCAGGAGCCAUUGACUUCUAAAAUGGGUGUGGUUUAAAACGCA